rnacentral:rRNA from 1 species
UUUUUCCUACGGGGGGCAGCAGUGAGGAAUAUUGGUCAAUGGACGAGAGUCUGAACCAGCCACGUAGCGUGAAGGAUGACUGCCCUAUGGGUUGUAAACUUCUUUUAUAUGGGAAUAAAACGUUCCACGUGUGGGAUUUUGUAUGUACCAUAUGAAUAAGGAUCGGCUAACUCCGUGCCAGCAGCCGCGGUAAUACGGAGGAUCCGAGCGUUAUCCGGAUUUAUUGGGUUUAA